rnacentral:rRNA from 1 species
GAUGAACGCUAGCGACAGGCUUAACACAUGCAAGUCGAGGGGCAGCGGGGGCGUAGCAAUAUGCCUGCCGGCGACCGGCGCACGGGUGAGUAACACGUAUGUAACCUGCCCUAUGCAGGGGGAUAACCCGGAGAAAUCCGGCCUAAUACCGCGUAACACCUUUGGGGAGCAUUCCCUUGGGGUUAAAGGAGAGAUCCGGCAUAGGAUGGACAUGCGUCGCAUUAGGUAGACGGCGGGGUAACGGCCCACCGUGCCGACGAUGCGUAGGGGUUCUGAGAGGAAGGCCCCCCACACUGGUACUGAGACACGGACCAGACUCCUACGGGAGGCAGCAGUGAGGAAUAUUGGUCAAUGGCCGAGAGGCUGAACCAGCCAAGUCGCGUGAGGGAAGAAUGUCCUAAGGAUUGUAAACCUCUUUUGUCGGGGAGCAAAAAGGCUCUGCGGAGUCGUAUUGAGAGUACCCGAAGAAAAAGCAUCGGCUAACUCCGUGCCAGCAGCCGCGGUAAUACGGAGGAUGCGAGCGUUAUCCGGAUUUAUUGGGUUUAAAGGGUGCGCAGGCGGCGUGUCAAGCAAGCGGUAAAAUAGCGGGGCUCAACCCCGUCGAGCCGUUUGAACUGGCGCGCUUGAGUUCAGGCGAGGUAGGCGGAAUUCGUGGUGUAGCGGUGAAAUGCAUAGAUAUCACGAAGAACUCCGAUUGCGAAGGCAGCUUACCAGUCUGCGACUGACGCUCAGGCACGAAAGUGUGGGUAUCGAACAGGAUUAGAUACCCUGGUAGUCCACACAGUAAACGAUGAGCGCUAGGUGUCCGGGUCGCAUGAGACUUGGGUGCCCGAGCGAAAGCGUUAAGCGCUCCACCUGGGGAGUACGCCGGCAACGGUGAAACUCAAAGGAAUUGACGGGGGCCCGCACAAGCGGAGGAACAUGUGGUUUAAUUCGAUGAUACGCGAGGAACCUUACCCGGGCUCAAACGACUCAGGAAUAUAUUGGAAACGAUGUAGCCAGCAAUGGUCUGAGUCGAGGUGCUGCAUGGUUGUCGUCAGCUCGUGCCGUGAGGUGUCGGCUUAAGUGCCAUAACGAGCGCAACCCCUACCGCCAGUUGCCAACGGGUAAAGCCGGGAACUCUGGCGGGACUGCCGGCGCAAGCUGCGAGGAAGGCGGGGAUGACGUCAAAUCAGCACGGCCCUUACGUCCGGGGCGACACACGUGUUACAAUGGCAGGUACAGCGGGAAGCCACCUGGUGACAGGGAGCGGAACCCGAAAGCCUGUCUCAGUUCGGAUUGGAGUCUGCAACUCGACUCCAUGAAGCUGGAUUCGCUAGUAAUCGCGCAUCAGCCAUGGCGCGGU